rnacentral:pre_miRNA from 1 species
AGUCUUCUGUAUCCGUUCUGAGGUUUCGUCCCACAUCAGACCACAAGGGCUGAUGAGACUUCCAAGAUAAGUGAAGAG